rnacentral:tRNA from 1 species
GGAGAGGUGGCUGAGCGGUCGAAAGCGGCGGUCUUGAAAACCGUUGAGGAUGCAAGUCCUCCGGGGGUUCGAACCCCUCCCUCUCCG